UUUUGGCUGCUCUGAGCUGUAUGUGCUGGGUCACGGACUCCUGAGGUCGGGUGGAGACUGAGGGGACCGAGAAGGCGCGAGGGGAGGCGCUGUCCCCGCCGCGCAGACUGGCGUCCGCGACUCCUCAACGCCGCCCGGGCUGCCCCGCGCCGGGGCCGGGACGGGGACCGCUGGCCCGGGUGUCCGCUCCGCCCAGAGUCAGAUGGCGGCGACCGCGCGCAGGGACCCGGCUCAGAGUUGUGUGACUUUCGAGGACGUGGCCGUGUACUUCUCCCAGGAGGAGUGGGGGCUCCUUGAUGAGGCUCAGAGGUUCCUGUACCACGACGUGAUGCUGGAGACCUUUGCACUUGCAACAUCCCUGGAUUGUUGGUGUGGAGCAGAGAAUGAGGAAGUACCUUCUGAGCAGAGUGUUUCUGUAGAAAGAGUGUCACAGGUCAGGACUUCUAAGACAGGUUUGUCAAUCCAGAAGACUCACCUCUGUGAGAAUUGUGUCCCAGUCUUGAAAGACAAUUUGCAACCUUCUGAGCUCCGAGCAGCAUAUUCUGGGCAGAAAUCAUACUUGGGUGGGGCGACCAGAGGCUUCUGGUUUGGUGCAAACCUUCACCAGCAUCAAAAGCAUGACAGUGGAGAGAAAAUGUUCAAAAUGGAUAUGGACAGUGCCUUGUUAGUGACGAGCUGCAGAUUCCACAUGUCAGCGAGGCCCUUUGCCAGUGGGGAAGGUGGAAAGGACUUUCUAGCUCCCUCAGGCCUUCUCCAGCACCUGGAUAUGCCCAAUAGAGAGAAGCCCCAGAGCAGCAUUGAGUGUGGGGAGCCCUUUACCAGCGGAAUAAGUCACAAGUGGAUCAAAUGCAGGAGAGCUUUCAGCAACACUCACACUCUUGACCACCAGAGAUUCCACGAUGGAGAAGGUCUUGAAGAAUGUAGCAAAUGUGGAAAAGACGUCCGCUGUAAAUACAGACCUUUUCAGCACCAGAAAAUUCACACCGAAGAAAGAUCUUACAAGUGUAGUGAAUGUGGGAGGUUCUUUAGUCGCAAAACCCAUCUCAUUCGACACUGGAGAGUUCACACUGGAGCAAAGCCUUAUGAAUGCAUAGAAUGUGGCAGAUCUUUCAGCCAGAAAUCUGACCUCAUUCAACACCAAAGAGUUCAUACUGGAGAGAGGCCGUACGAGUGCAGUGAGUGUGGGAAGUCCUUUAUCCAAAAAUCUAUCCUUAUUAAACAUCUGAGAGUUCAUACUAACGAAAGGCCUUACAAAUGCAUUGAAUGUGGGAAAUCAUUUACCCAAAGUUCUGGCCUUCUUCGCCACAAGAGAGCUCACGCUAGAGCAAGGCCUUAUGAAUGCACUGAAUGUGGGAAAUCAUUUAGUUGUAAAACCCACCUCAUGAGACACUGGAGAGUUCACACUGGAGUAAGGCCUUAUGAUUGCAUUGAAUGUGGGAAAUCUUUUAGUGAGAAAUCUGUCCUCAUUCAACACCAAAGAGUUCACACUGGAGAAAGGCCUUAUGAGUGCAAUGAAUGUGGGAAAUCCUUUAGCCAGAAAUCUGUCCUCAUUCAACACCAAAGAGUUCACACUGGAGAAAAGCCGUAUGAAUGCAGUGAAUGUGGGAAAUCCUUCAGCCGUAAAACCCACCUUGUUCGACACCAGACAGUUCACUCUGGAGCAAAGCCUUAUGAGUGCAAUGAGUGUGGGAAAUCCUUUAGCCAGAGCUCUGGCCUCCUUCGACAUAGGAGAGCUCACCUGUAGUGAAUGAGAAAUCCUUUAGCUGCAAACUGAGCUCAGUCAACACCAAAGAGUUCACACAAAGUGAAACAGAUGCAGAGAAUGUGCCCUUUCCUUACUUAGUUUAAUUGUGGUGGAGGAAAGCCUCUUGAGCCAUCUGCCUGAACUGAAUUUUAUAGAUCUGAAAACAUCUACAGACUGGAGAUUUCCCUGUAAGUUUCAGUUCUGCGGGAAGCAUGUACAACCUGUCCAAGCUCCUUGCCAGGUUGAUGUCACUGCCAGUUUCAGUGGCAGCAGCCACUUCAGCUCUACCACGUGACCAGUCCCCACAGUGUGCGUCAGUCACCUUGGUCUGCUUGUCAAAGCUGACCUCUGCUCUCCCAUGUGCUAGAGGAAAUCAAGAGUAUCCUGAGCCUUAUGAGAUCUUCAUUCCCUUCUCUCUUGACAAGUUAGCACAUGGACUUGACCUUCUGUUGGCCUCUAGAACACUAUCUGGGUUCUGCUGAUGGCCUGCGCAGAAGAACUAGCUUUUUGAGAGAUCUAACUGGUCUCAGGGAGUGCUCUUGAUGAGGUUUUCCAGCUUCCAAGUCAUUGAACCGGAAACUCGCACAGCUUUGGCUGGUUUGUGCAAUAAUAAAGGCCUUUCUGUUUAAGCACCUUUAAUCUUAGAAACUCUGUCCACAGUGUAGGGUAGCUUGAAGGACUGCCAACUUGAAGUGGAAAGUUGUGAGGGGAUGCAAACGUUGGGUGCCUCAGAGGGGACAGUGUGAUGGUAGAGUGUAGUGCUCUCCAGUUGCAUCAUAGUCUGCGUUGCUGCCAGGACCUCCUAGGAAAGACUGCUCUGUGGUCCUGAGUUUUUGCCUGGAUGCCAGAGGUCACCCUGAGAAAGGGGCAGUUGUGACAACAUCCGUGCUUUUGGAGACAACGUGAAUUUUUCCUUGUUCACGGGAUACCUCAGUGCCCAGCAGUGCUGAGGAAAAUCAGCCCCAGGUCCUGCAGAGGAGCUGUGCACCCUGAUACCCAGAGCUCAGUAGGCCAGUGUCGCUGGCUAUAAGACUGCAGGGGCAAGGGAACCCAUAAUUGGCACAGAAACACUAUCAAGAGAGCGUGGAGGAGACUGCCGCAGGGUACAUGGAGUGCGCCUCUCCCGGGUGUGCACCCACAGGUGUUUCGGUGAUUGCAGGCUGCGAGUGUACAGAAAUCUCAGGAUCUCCAGCAGCGUGUGAGACUUCCAACUCCUUCACCCUUGUCAGUGCCUGAUGCCAUGAAAGCAUGGUGUCCACAGGACCCGAGACGACUUGAGUCCAACCGUUCUAUACAAGCUUCACAGAGACUCUGGAAAAAUCAAGGUUAUAUGAAAUGAUUUUGGGAGAAGUUGACCGUGCAAGGAGAAGGACAUUAGGUGAAGCAGCCAGAACUGCAGCCAGUGGAGAGAAGAGAGAAAAAGGGGAGAAAACCAUGCUGGCCAAGAGUGAGUCUCACAGAAGAAAGAGCUCAUGAAAAUGGUCUGACUCUUACAGAAUAAAAGAGUGGAAGAAAAAUAGGAAUGCUACACACCACGGAGAGUACUAUUGACACAUACAUACUGAUUCAGUGACGUCUUCAGUCAACUGAAUAAAUAAUAAAAGUGAGAUUCUAGUGAUUGAUAACACGGUUAUCAAAAGAAGAUUCAAAUACAGAGACCAACAAGACUUUAAAGGAGGAAGAGUAAAGGUCAAGUGAAAUAUCCUGAUUCCAGGAUGGAGAAUAUGAACAAAAGACCAGAGGUGGACAGAUGAGGAAACAGACUGAACAAACAGAUGACCGUCCACAACAGCAAAAGACAUCAGCA